CCUACGGGAGGCUGCAGUGGGGAAUAUUGGACAAUGGGCGAAAGCCUGAUCCAGCCAUGCCGCGUGUGUGAAGAAGGCCUUCGGGUUGUAAAGCACUUUCAGUGGGGAAGAAAGCCUUGGGGCUAAUACCCUCGAGGAAGGACAUCACCCACAGAAGAAGCACCGGCUAACUCCGUGCCAGCAGCCGCGGUAAUACGGAGGGUGCGAGCGUUAAUCGGAAUUACUGGGCGUAAAGCGCGCGUAGGCGGUCUGAUAAGCCGGUUGUGAAAGCCCCGGGCUCAACCUGGGAACGGCAUCCGGAACUGUCAGGAUAGAGUGCAGGAGAGGAAGGUAGAAUUCACGGUGUAGCGGUGAAAUGCGUAGAGAUCGGGAGGAAUACCAGUGGCGAAGGCGGCCUUCUGGACUGACACUGACGCUGAGGUGCGAAAGCGUGGGUAGCAAACAGGAUUAGAUACCCCUGUAGUC
rnacentral:rRNA from 1 species